rnacentral:ribozyme from 1 species
UAGAAAUACAUCACUGGUACGGGUACGGAUCCGACGCCUCUCGUAGGCUGCACAGGCUCUCCGUACCCUACUCCUACUCAAAACGUCCCCGACGUACAGAACGGUACAUGUUUCUUUCCGCAUAUCUGAGCUUGGGUAUACGGGGAAACCCAACCCCUUGGGAGGAUGGAAGACAUAGCUAAUUUGAGAGGA